ACCAGCACCCCGAGUGGUCGGGACGAUUAUUGGGCCUAAAGCAUCCGUAGCUUGUUCUGCAAGUCCUCCGUUAAAUCCACCUGCUCAACAGAUGGGCUGCGGGGGAUACUACAGGGCUAGGAGGCGGGAGAGGCAAACGGUACUCAGUGGGUAGGGGUAAAAUCCUCUGAUCCACUGAAGACCACCAGUGGCGAAGGCGGGUUGCUGGGCCGACACUGACGCUGAGGCGCGAAAGCUAGGGGAGCGAACGGGA
rnacentral:rRNA from 1 species